AGUUCGAUCCUUGGCCAGAUUGAACGCUGGCGGGAUGCUUUACACAUGCAAGCCGAACGCAGCACGGACUUCGGUCUGGUGGCGAGUGCGAACGGGUGAGUACGUAUCGGAACGUGCCUAGCAAGGAUAACUACGCGAAAGCGUAGCUAAUACCGCAUACGUUCUUCGGGGGGAAAGCGGGGGACCUUCGGGCCUCGCACUAUUAGAGCGGCCGAUAUCGGAUGAAUAGUUAGGGGAACGGCUCUAAGGCGACAUCCGCGAGAUGUUUGAGAGGAUCAAGACCAGCCACACUGGGACUGAGACACGGCCCAGACUCACGGAGGUAGCAGCGGGGAAUUUUUGAUACAAUGGGGAAACUCCACCAGCCAUAUCCGUGUGGGUGACAGCGCCCCCGGGUUAAAGUACCUUGUAGGAAGAAACGGCACGGAGCACACUCCCGUGCAACUGACGGUACCUGCAGAAUAAGCACCGCCAACUACGUGCCAGCAGCCGCGGUAAUACGUAGGGUGCAAGCGUUAAUCGAAUUACUGGGCGUAAAGCGUGCAGGCGGUUCGGAAAGAAAUAUGCAAUCCAGCUUUAACUGCGGAACUGCAUUUUUAACUACCGAGCUAGAGUGUCAGAGGAGGUGGAAUUCCGCGUAGCAGUGAAAUGCGUAGAUAUGCGGAGUGAACACCGAUGGUGAAGGCAGCCUGGAUAACAUCAUCGCUCAUGCACGAAAGCGUGGGGAGCAAACAGGAUUAGAUACCCUGGUAGUCCACGCCCUAAACGAUGUCAACUAGCUGUUGGGGCCUUCGGGCCUUGGUAGCGCAGCUAACGCGUGAAGUUGACCGCCUGGGGAGUACGGUCGCAAGAUUAAAACUCAAAGGAAUUGACGUGACCCGCACAAGCGGUGGAUGAUGGGAUUAAUCAUGCAACGCGAAAACCUUACCUACCCUGACAUGUCUGGAAUCCCGAAGAGAUUUGGGAAAGCCCGCAAGAGAACCGAACACAGGUGCUGCAUGGCUGUCGUCAGCUUCAAAGUCGAGAUGUUGGGUUAAGUCCCGCAACGAGCGCAACCUCAUUGCUAUUGCUACGAAAGGGCACUCUAAUGACUGCCGGUGACAAACCGGAGGAAGGUGGGGAUGACGUCAAGUCCUCAUGGCCCUUAUGGGUAGGGCUUCACACGUCAUACAAUGGUCGGGACAGAGGGUCGCCAACCCGCGAGGGGGGAGCCAAUCCCAGUGAAAACCGAUCAAAGUCCGGAUCGGCAGUCUGCAAUCCGACUGCGUGAAGUCGGAAUCCGCUAGUAAUCGCGGAUCAGCAUGUCGCGGUGAAUACGUUCCCGGGUCUUGUACACACCGCCCGUCACACCAUGGGAGUGGGUUUUACCAGAAGUAGUUAGCCUAACCGUAAGGAGGGCGAUUACCACGGUGAGAUCUCAUGAUCAGUGAAGUCGUAACAGCAGCCUGAAAGAUACUGAUGC
rnacentral:rRNA from 1 species